rnacentral:rRNA from 1 species
UACGUAGGGUGCAAGCGUUGUCCGGAAUUAUUGGGCGUAAAGAGCUCGUAGGCGGUUUGUCGCGUCUGCUGUGAAAACUCAGGGCUUAACUCUGAGCUUGCAGUGGGUACGGGCAGACUAGAGUGCGGUAGGGGAGACUGGAAUUCCUGGUGUAGCGGUGAAAUGCGCAGAUAUCAGGAGGAACACCGGUGGCGAAGGCGGGUCUCUGGGCCGUAAACUG